UGGGGAAUAUUGGACAAUGGGCGAAAGCCUGAUCCAGCCAUGCCGCGUGUGUGAAGAAGGUCUUCGGAUUGUAAAGCACUUUAAGUUGGGAGGAAGGGCAGUAGAUUAAUACUCUGCUGUUUUGACGUUACCAACAGAAUAAGCACCGGCUAACUCUGUGCCAGCAGCCGCGGUAAUACAGAGGGUGCAAGCGUUAAUCGGAAUUACUGGGCGUAAAGCGCGCGUAGGCGGCUAGGUAAGAUGGGUGUGA
rnacentral:rRNA from 1 species